GGCAGUGUGGUCUAGUGGGCAGAGCACUGGCUUGGGAGUCAGGAACCCUAGGUCUAUUCCAGGCUCUGCCA
rnacentral:tRNA from 1 species